UACAUUUGGUUUUCAUCCAGUUCCUGACACAGAGCUCCUAAAACCCUUGGAAUUUCCUGUGAUGAGAGUGAUAAAGAUGUCUUUUAUUGUUUAAUGAGUAACUUGUGGAAAACACCUACGCAUGGGGGCUGGUUGCCAGUGGAGCCCACCAUGUAAUGAGAGGAUUGGAACUUUCAGUCUCAUUCAAUCCCAACCCACACCCUGACUUUCUGGGAGGGGAGAGGGAUGGGAGAUUGAGUUCAGUUCACUGAUGGCCAAUGAUUUAAUCAACCAUGCCUAUGUAAUGAAGCCUCCCCCAAAACCCAAAAGGAUAGGCUUUGGAGAAUUUCCAGGUUGGUGAACCAGAAAUCGUCCAUGUGUUGCUGUGUUAAACCCCAGACUCCACGGGGACAUAAGUUCCUGUAUUCAGGGACUCGCCCUGUGUAUCUCAUCUGGCUGUUGAUUCAUAUCCUUUGUAACAAACCAGUAAUCUAGUGAGUAAACUGGUUUCCUUAGGUCUACAAGCCACUCUGACAAAUGAAUUGAACCCAAGGAGGGGGUUGUAGGAACCUCUCCGAUUUAUAAAUAGAUAGUCCGAGCACAAGUAACAACCUAAACUUGAAAUUGGCAUCUGAAAUGGAGGGUAGUCUUAUAAGACUGAGCUCUCAACGCGUGGAAUCUGAUGGUAUCUUCAGGUAGACAGUGUCAGAAUUAAGUUGAAUUGAAAGACACCCAGCAGGUGUCAGAAAAUUGUUUGGUGUGGAGAAACAACCCACACAUCAGAACUGGUGUCAGCAUACUACAAAUAUUUUGAAUGAAUAAGUAAUGAAUGUAAAGUGUCAGAUACCUGAAUUCUGUCGCUUUUUGUAUCCAUCUAUCUUUCUGUCCAUCUACUCACCCAUCUUGCUGAUCAAAGCAUCUAUAAUAGUAGUGAUAAUACUACAGGAGUAAUAAUCAUAAUUCAUUGAAUAUUUGUUACUCAGGCACUAGGAAAGUGAUUUACAUGAACUUUCUCAUUUAAUUCUUAAAAAAAUAUGAAACAGGUAAUCAAUAGCAACCAAUUCCUCUAAGUGAUUCAAUUAAUAGAUAAGUGAUUGAAUAUGGUUGAUACAAUGAAGAGAAGAGAAUUUUAUGGCUCUUGGCUUCUGGCUUGUGUAUCUGUUGGAUAAUGUAUCCUCACUGAGACACAAGAAGAAGAAAUCAUUCAGCAGGAAAGACAACAGGCACUUCUGUACAGACUGACUUUGAAGGGCCCGUGGAACACCAUUGUAGAAAUUUCCAGUAGACUAUUAGGAAUAUGAAGUUUGGUGCUUUAAAGAUACCUUAGCGAGAGGUAAAAAUAAAACGGAGUCAUUGGUAUACCAGUGGAAGUUGAGACUGUGGAAGAGAUUGCCUACCGAAUGUAAAUGUGUGUUGGAAGUGGGUGAUAAGAUCUUGGAUAAUAUCCAUGUAACAAGUGGGGAGAGGAAAAGGAGCCCAUGCUAGGAAGGGUCAGUAGUACAGGUAAAGGACCCAGUAAGAGUGGGCUCUGUAAACUAGUGUUUAGUCUUCUGUAGGUGCUUCUGGGAUAAUUAGGGGUCCCUAGAAGUUCAGAUGUAUCCCUAGGGUUUCCAGAAGAGAUGGCCCUGGAAUGUUAAGUCAGGGAGAGAGGAUCCAAGAGAUGGCACAGAAGAUGACCGGCGCCAUGGGUCUGAGGUGCGCCAAGCCUUCCAGACAGCUGACUGGCAUGCCCCCUGACUUGCUCUCACAAUUACUGCCAUGCCUACCUCACAGCCCUGCAGGAGCCCCUCGGUACCACUCACUCUUGAUGUGGAGGCACAGUUGAUUGGGCAGAUGUCCUUAGGAAGCGAUAUCUCAAUGAAGCGAUUCCAAAUCGGGUGCAUUUGCACUCCCUUCCAUUAGCAGCAGACUAAAACGAGCGUUACAUUGUCAGAAGCUGAACUUCGUGAACUCUGGGAUUCUCAGGAAGAGGCUCCAAGUGAAGACAGGCCAUGUUUCACAAUUAAAAAUGUGGGGAAGCAUCCCUUAGAGCUCA